rnacentral:lncRNA from 1 species
UAGGCAUAGUUGUAGUUGUAAGUGUAGUUGUAGGUGUAGUUGUAUGUUUAGGUGUAGGCGUAGUUGUAGGUGUAGUUGUACGUGUAGGUGUAGUUGUAAGCGAAGGUGUAGGUGUAGUUGUAGGUGUAGAUGUAGUUGUAGGUGUAGUUGUAUGUUUAGGUGUAGGCGUAGUUGUGGGUGUAGUUGUAGUUGUACGUGUAGGUAUAGUUGUAAGCGAAGGUGCAGUUGUAGGUGUAGGCGUAGAUGUAGUUGUAGGUGUAGGCGUAGUGUAGGAUUAGGUGUAGUUGUAGGUGUAGGCAUAGUUGUAGUUGUAAGUGUAGAUGCAGUUGUAGGUUUAGUUAUAGGAAUAGGUGUAGUUAUAAGCGAAGGUGUAGUUUGUAGGUGUAGUUGUAGGUGUAGGUGUAGAUGUAGUUGUAGGUGUAGUUGUAUGUUUAGGUGUAGGCGUAGUUGUAGGUGUAGUUGUAGAUGUACGUGUAGAUGUAGUUGUAAGCAAAGGUGUAGAUGUAGUUGUAGGUGUAGGCGUAGAUGUAGUUGUAGGUGUAGGCGUAGUGUAGGAUUAGGUGUAGUUGUAGGUUUAGGCAUAGAUGUAGUUGUAAGUGUUGAUGAAGUUGUAGGUUUAGUUAUAGGAAUAGGUGUAGUUGUAGGUGUAGUUGUAGUUGUAGUUGUAGGUGUAGUUGUAAGUGUAGUUGUAGGAGUAGGUGUAGCUGUAGAUGUCGUUGUAGGAGUAGGUGUAGUUGUAGGUGUAGUUGCAGAUGUAGUUGUAGGUGUAGUUGCAGUUGUUGGUGUAGGUGUAGUUGCAGUUGUUGGUGUAGUUGUAGGAGUAGGUGUAGUUGUAGGAGUAGGUGUAGGUGUAGUUGUUGGUGUAGGUGUAAUUGUAGGUGUAGAUGUAGGAGUAGGUGUAGGUGUAGUUUUAGGCAUAGUUGUAGGAGUAGGCGUAGGUGUAGUUGUUGGUGUAGGUGUAGUUCUAGGCUUAGUUGUAGGAGUAGGUGUAGGUGUAGUUGUAGGUGUAGUUGCAGGAGUGGGCGUAGUUGUAGUUGUUGGUGUAGGCGUAGUUGUUGCUGUAGGUGUAGGUGUAGUUUUAGGCAUAGCUGUAGGAGUAGGUGUAGGUGUAGUUGUUGGUGUAGGUGUAUUUGUAGGUGUAGAUUUAGGAGUUGGUGUAGGUGUAGUUGUAGGUGUAGGUGUAGUUGCAGGAGUGGGCGUAGUUGUAGGUGUAGGCGUAGUUGUAGGCGUAGUUGUAGGCGUAGUUGUAGGUGUAGGUGUAGUUGUAGGCAUAGUUGUAGUUGUAGGUGUAGGUGUAGUUGUAGGUGUAGUUGUUGGUGCAGUUGUAGUUGUAGUUGUAGGUGUAGAUGUAGGUGUAGUUGUUUGGUGUAGUUGUAAGAGUUGGCGUAGUUGUAUGUGUAGUUGUUGGUGUAGUUGUAGUUGUUGGUGUAGGUGUAGUUGUAGGAGUAGGCGUAGUUGUAGGUGUAGGAGUAGGUGUAGAUGUAGGAGUAGGUGUAGAUGUAGGAGUAGGUGUAGAUGUAGGAGUAGUUGUAGGCGUAGUUAUAGUUGUAGGUGUAGUUGUAGGUGUAGUUGUAGGUGUUGUUGUAGGACCAAAGAUGCAGAAGAAAACCCUAUACUUUAAUGGUUGUCGUAGGCCACUUCAGCACAACAGUUUGAUUUGAUUUGGGUGUGAACUAACUAACCGUGAAGUUGCUAUUUGAAGAAGGAAAGAAACAUGCCUUCAGACCUCUCUUGUUACCAUGGGGUCAAGGCUCCAGCAACUUGAGUGUUGAACCGUUGUCUGCAAGAGGGUGUGUGUGAGCAUGUGUGUGUGUGCGUUUGUGUGUGUGUGUGUGUGUGUGUGCGGCUCACUG